AUACUUACCUGGCAGGGGAGAUACCAUGAUCACGAAGGUGGUUUUCCCAGGGCGAGGCUUAUCCAUUGCACUCCGGAUGUGCUGACUCCUGCGAUUUCCCCACAUGUGGGAAACUCGACUGCAUAAUUUAUGGUAGUGGGGGACUGCGUCCGCGCUUUCCCCUG
ensembl:snRNA U1 U1 spliceosomal RNA